GACGACAACAACGACGACAACAACAACGACAACACCACAGCCCCCCCACCCCCGCCGCGGGCCCGCCCGGGAGCCGCCAUGCCUUUCUCCAGCUCGGAGGCGGACGACGCCUUCGACUACCUCUUCAAGAUCAUCCUGAUCGGGGACUCCAACGUGGGGAAGACCUGCGUGGUGCACCGCUUCAAGACGGGGCAGUACAACGAGAAGCAGCAGAACACCAUCGGCGUCGACUUCACUGUGCGCUCGAUGGACAUCGACGGCAAGAAAGUGAAGAUCCAAGUGUGGGACACGGCUGGUCAAGAACGCUUCCGGACUAUAACCCAGUCUUACUACAGGAGUGCCCACGGGGCCAUCCUUGCCUAUGACCUUACUAGGAGGUCCACAUUUGAAUCCAUUCCUCACUGGAUUCAUGAAAUUGAAAAGUAUGGUGCUGCAAACUUGGUCAUGAUGUUAAUUGGGAACAAGUCGGAUUCAGCGGAUAAGCGCCAAGUCCUGUUUGAAGACGCCUGCACACUGGCAGAGAAGCAUGGGCUCUUAGCUGUACUGGAGACAUCAGCAAAAGAAGCUCAAAACAUAGAAGUGGUGUUCACGUUAAUGGCUAAGGAGCUAAUAGCCCGAAACACCUUACAGCUUCAUGGAGAGAGCCCUCCAAGCAGCAUCUAUCUUGAUUCCAGGCCAGUGAUUGCCAGUCCAAGCGUGGAGAAGACCCAGUGCCUCUGCUGAAGAGAGAUUUCGGGAAGAACUUGAAAGCUGUCAUCUUUCUGAGGCUGUUUGAUUUAAUUUUAUUCAACUGAUGAAAGUGUGCUAUGUGGCCCCAAGCCAUCUCUCUUGAUCUCUCUACCUUGCAGUUUGGCUUUUUUAAGAGCUGUACAUCCAGCUUGAAGAUGAGCUUAUGUUAAAUUAUGACCUACUUGGAAGAAGCAUUUGAAUCUCGGCUGUGGCACGUUACUUGCAUUGAGAUCACAGCCACACCAGAUGAGACGGAAGCAGCACCUAUCCACAGAACAGAGCAACAAAAAAAAAAAAACAAACCUAGAAGUAUUCCAAAAUGGAGCAAACCGACACCUCCCAGAAGCUGACUGGCUUACAAGCAAACACAGCUGCAGCCCAGGGACAUGGCAGGCACAUGGCGUUCCCUAUGUGGUCAAGUUUUUCUUCAUACAUGGGGGACAGGCUCUUAAUAACAAAAGGUGAGGUUCUUAUCUAAUCAUUCCAGUUAAUGUUUAAGUAUAGUUGGAAAGGAGACAGAGAAAGCAAUUUUCAGGCCCUGAACAGAGACAGUGAGCUCUGUCCUGGAAUGUGCUUUCGGGAAGGAGAUGCAUGCCUAUGGGGAACUGAAACUGGAGCUUCCCCCCGCCAGGUGAGUGCUCUAACCCCAGCACUGUUUAAAGGUGCCCCUUCUAGCUGCAGGCUGCCAACAGGCAGAUUUUAAUAUAUCCCAGUUCCCAGAACACUGCUUUUGGCUGCAGGUGGGGGGGCUUUAACACUCGUUCUUUGGUGUGCUGACUCCUGAGGCCAUUCUCAAGCACCUCUCUCAAGCAAGCAUGUCAAGGACUGGAGCUACGACAGGCAAUGCUGGGAUAUCAGAGUCCUUUGAGAGUAGUUUUAGACAGGCCAAGAGCCACUUCUACCUAAGAGUACUUCAGCUUUUAAUAGGAACUUGCAGUUCAAGAGAGGUAGGACUGUGAAGUCUUUUAAAGCACUUUUUCUAGUGUUGUUAUUCUAAAAAUCAACCUUAACUCAGCUGCCCGCACAGGCUCUGCCUACACAAUCACAUCAAGCUGUUGCCAAACAGGUGUUGACUCUGGCUUGACUGCAAGUAACAAACAGCACACCCAUGGACAACGGUAACAGCAGGAGCUCAGCAUAUAGGCAACCCCACGUUUCCUUGCUACAGCUUGUGCCCAUGAAUAUCGCUGCUUAUUAUGGUUUUCACUGCCAAGUCUGUCCAGUUUUGCUUACCUGAAGCGAGGCUCAGCACAACUACAGUUUAACAAUGACGCUUUAAUGGUGGCAUUAGAGUAAAACUGACCUCAUAGCAACUCUAUCCCUACAGCACAGUCAGUCCUGCAUCCUAGGAGACUACAUGUGGAUUCCCUCGUUUGAAGCUGCAGCAGCAUUCAUGAUUCCAUCUAUCCAAGUUUUGUUCCAAACAUGAGACAAACCUCUCACUACCCUCCAAACAGAAAUCUAUUUUGUACCUGCUGUAGCAGGAACAAGUUACUUUGUAUUGCACUGAAUGAACCAGGCAUUCCCUCAGCAAGAUUACAAACACCGUGGGCUACAAUAGGGGAAGAGCUAAAGCAGCAGAGGUUGCAAGAAGUACUCUUAGCUUCUGUGAUCGCAUUCAGACCGAUUAGAAUGGGCAGCACUUACUUUGCACUUACCACAAGAUGCAAAAUUUUGUAUCAAACCAAACAUAUAUAUUCUUGCAGAGGGAGUAAAGUCAAGGCACUUUAAGUGAGAGCAUGCAUCUUUUUCUGAAGAUUUUUGUUUAGAAAUCAAGAUUUUGCUGAUGGAAGCUUAUAGAGUCUUUAUACCUUUUUCAUCUUGACACUACUCUCAUUGGCCUCUUCAGUUUCUGCACCUUAGGUGUUUGCUUAAAGAAAAUAUAGCACAGCUUAAGUCGUCACCCUCCAUAUUUUUUACAUUAAAAGUUUGCCUUAAUUCUACUGAAUUUAUUCCUGUUCCUGUAGAGGAAAAACAUCACAGCCUACUACCAUACUUUACUCAUUUUAAGGUCCCUACCCUUUUUAGUCAUUCCAGUUUGGGGGGGUAAGGUGGGGGGGUGUGGAAAUCAUAGUGCAACAGCAAGCUUAGACACAGGCCUACCGCCAGCAAGACUCAAACUGGAAGCGACAUGCAGCAGUACUGCCUGCUGACAAAUACAUGCAGUUCUUCAGCUUCGCAGAAGAACCACAGCGUGCUUCAAAGCAAGAGAUCAACACAAACUACUUGUCACGAUGCACCUGACUACAUCAGCCACCUUGCAGCUAGACAGAACAGCCUCCCCCCUCAAAGAAAAUCACUUAUUUGCGUAUUCUCAGCUUCCCGCGUAGCGCGUACAGAAGCAGAGCUUAGAAGCAGCAGCACCCACCAUUCCUGCAUGCCAUUUCUGACCCUUUAUGAAGGAAAACUGAUGGCUGUGCUCUGGCUGCUAAGUUUAUUACUUUUUUCCAUCUUGCCAGAACACAUUUUUGUUAGACUUCUCUUUGAAUGCAGCUUUCCAAUAGGAUGCUAACAACUUAAAUAUUCACCAUGGAGGGGAGGGACAGGCCAGUUUUACCCCAAAGCCUUUUAUUUUUUCUGUCUCUCCCUUUAUCAGUUUUAAAUGUCAUUUGCGCAAAUAACCUUCAAAUCCUUUUCUCCCUCUGCUACUUGCCCCUGGGGAAAAAACCCCAAACCAACCAACCAACGAUGGUUUUAGACUGUUCAGUUAAACUUUACUUCUUAGUCCUAUCCCUCAGCAUCUGAAUACGUUCCUAGUAGUUUACUUCCAAUUGUAGGUAUUUCUGCAGAAGAAUGCUUCUUUCUCAACACACAUAGCCUUAAAGCAGCAUGUGGAUUUUCAGGAAGCGGCCUGGCCUGCAGCAAUGCUUGGACUUGCUGUCCAAACAGCAUCACGACAGGAAACUAUCAAAAUAGAACAUGUACUGUAAUUGACUUUGUUCAGGACCAACAAAAUGAAUACCAUAAUGCAGAACUUACUUCUGAGAAAGCAAGCCACGUCUGUUCCCACUAAUGGCCCCAUACAUUCUUUCAACAGUUCAAUUGUCUCAGCUGUCUGUUCAGAAUGCGUUCCUUACGUUACAGGGUCUUUGCUGGAAAGGUUGUAACAGAGUUAAAA